UGACUCUGCUGUUCAAUGCUAGUAAUUAUACCAAUUGUAUUUCCUGUAUCAUUUGGGCAUGUAUCCAAAGCACUGUUUGUGUGAUGAGAUCUCUCCAGCUUGGUGUUUUUAGUCAAGUCUUGUAAAGUGUUGAGUUUGCUCACCUAAUUUUCCUGUAAUCAAUUGCAUGGUUUGCAGGCUUUGGCCUACCACUAACUGUAUGCUAUGUUCUUAACCACAGUUGUGAUGAUCAUUCUUCUUUAUAAUGACUAAGAUGCUUUGAACUUCUAUGCUCUCACAUUUGUUUCUUUAAUUUUGAGGAGCAUUUAAAUUUUGAAUACAUCUGGUGAAAACUUUUAACUUCUUACUGGUUCUGCCAAUGGCAGGCUAAGCCGGAUGUG
rnacentral:misc_RNA from 1 species